CUGUAUUACUGUGUAAGGUCUAAAGGUGCUGAUUUUAGUUCCACCAUUACCUUCCCUGUCAGUUGAUAAUAAAUUUUUAUUUAGUGCAACUGAUUUUUCGUUGAUUCUGAUCUACUUUAAUUAGAUGAAGUAUUCUAAAGAGGGUUCUUUCAGAAAUUGAACAAAUCCCCUAUUCCAAAUGGAUUCUCGAUAAGUGGAGUGCAAAUAAGAGGCUAGGACACAUAAAUACCAGGAAGCAAAACAUAUGGAUCAUUUCCCAAAGAUACGACACCACUGGAUCUAGUGGAGGAGCUCAAUUAAAUAGCAAAUUUUCUUUGAAAGCUGAAAAAAAUGAAUGAGUUGAGAAGGAAACUUGUUGAGACUC
rnacentral:lncRNA from 1 species